CCUGCGGAGAGUACUAGAACUUGUGAGUAGUAUCGAAACAUUCGAUACAAAAGCAUACUCAAUGAAGCAGGAA
rnacentral:sRNA from 12 species